UACGUAGGGUGCGAGCGUUAAUCGGAAUUACUGGGCGUAAAGCGUGCGCAGGCGGUCCGCUAAGACCGAUGUGAAAUCCCCGGGCUUAACCUGGGAACUGCAUUGGUGACUGGCGGGCUGGAGUAUGGCAGAGGGGGGUAGAAUUCCACGUGUAGCAGUGAAAUGCGUAGAGAUGUGGAGGAAUACCGAUGGCGAAGGCAGCCCCCUGGGCCAAUACUGACGCUCAUGCACGAAAGCGUGGGGAGCAAACAGG
rnacentral:rRNA from 1 species